CCUACGGGAGGCUGCAGUGGGGAAUAUUGGACAAUGGGGGCAACCCUGAUCCAGCCAUGCCGCGUGUGUGAAGAAGGCCCUCGGGUUGUAAAGCACUUUCAGUGAGGAAGAACGCCUGGUGGUUAAUACCCAUCAGGAAAGACAUCACUCACAGAAGAAGCACCGGCUAUCUCCGUGCCAGCAGCCGCGGUAAUACGGAGGGUGCGAGCGUUAAUCGGAAUUACUGGGCGUAAAGCGCGCGUAGGUGGCUUGAUAAGCCGGUUGUGAAAGCCCCGGGCUCAACCUGGGAACGGCAUCCGGAACUGUCAAGCUAGAGUGCAGGAGAGGAAGGUAGAAUUCCCGGUGUAGCGGUGAAAUGCGUAGAGAUCGGGAGGAAUACCAGUGGCGAAGGCGGCCUUCUGGACUGACACUGACACUGAGGUGCGAAAGCGUGGGUAGCAAACAGGAUUAGAUACCCUAGUAGUC
rnacentral:rRNA from 1 species